rnacentral:rRNA from 1 species
UUGACCUCGGAUCAGGUAGGAAUACCCGCUGAACUUAAGCAUAUCAAUAAGCGGAGGAAAAGAAACCAACAGGGAUUGCCCUAGUAACGGCGAGUGAAGCGGCAACAGCUCAAAUUUGAAAUCUGGCUCUCGGGCCCGAGUUGUAAUUUGUAGAGGAUACUUUUGAUGCGGUGCCUUCCGAGUUCCCUGGAACGGGACGCCAUAGAGGGUGAGAGCCCCGUCUGGUUGGAUGCCAAAUCUCUGUAAAGUUCCUUCAACGAGUCGAGUAGUUUGGGAAUGCUGCUCUAAAUGGGAGGUAUAUGUCUUCUAAAGCUAAAUACCGGCCAGAGACCGAUAGCGCACAAGUAGAGUGAUCGAAAGAUGAAAAGCACUUUGAAAAGAGAGUUAAAAAGUACGUGAAAUUGUUGAAAGGGAAGCGUUUAUGACCAGACUUGGGCUUGGUUAAUCAUCUGGGGUUCUCCCCAGUGCACUUUUCCAGUCCAGGCCAGCAUCAGUUUUCCCCGGGGGAUAAAGGCGGCGGGAAUGUGGCUCUCUUCGGGGAGUGUUAUAGCCCACCGUGUAAUACCCUGGGGGGGACUGAGGUUCGCGCAUCUGCAAGGU